rnacentral:rRNA from 1 species
GCCAGCCCGCUACAGAAACUCAAAGGAAGUUCGACGGGGCCCGCACAAGCGGUGGAGUAUGUGGUUUAAUUCGAUGCAACGCGAAGAACCUUACCUGGUCUUGACAUCCCGGAGACCCUUAGGAAACUAGGGGGUGCUUCCAUCUGGAAGAAUCUGGAGACAGGUGCUGCAUGGCUGUCGUCAGCUCGUGUCGUGAGAUGUUGGGUUAAGUCCCGCAACGAGCGCAACCCUUGCCUUUAGUUGCCAGCAGUUCGGCUGGGCACUCUAAAGGGACUGCCGGUGUUAAACCGGAGGAAGGUGGGGAUGACGUCAAGUCCUCAUGGCCUUUAUGACCAGGGCUACACACGUACUACAAUGGCCGAUACAAAGGGCAGCGACACUGCGAGGUGAAGCCAAUCCCGUAAAAUCGGUCUCAGUCCGGAUUGGAGUCUGCAACUCGACUCCAUGAAGUUGGAAUCGCUAGUAAUCGUGGAUCAGCAUGCCACGGUGAAUACGUUCCCGGGCCUU